AGACCGUUCUCUUUCGAGGCCGGUCAUCGGAAUGGGUACAAUUUAAACCCUUUAACGAGUAUCUAUGAGAGGGCAAGUCUGGUGCCAGCAGCCGCGGUAAUUCCAGCUCUCAAAGUGCAUAGAAUUAUUGCUGCGGUUAAAAAGCUCGUAGUUGGAUCUGUGCCAUAGGACGGGGUCCACCUUCGGGUGCGUACUCCGCUCCUAGGCUUUUUGCUGGUUUUCCCGUCGUAGCCUUCACUGGUUGCGGCGGGUGGCUGGCGAGUUUACUUUGAGAAAAUCAGAGUGCUCAAUACAGGCGUCUAGCUUGAAUGAUUGUGCAUGGAAUAAUAGAAAAGGAUUUCGGUCCUCUUUUAUUGGUUUUGUGGACUGAGAUAAUGGUUAACAGGGACAAACGGGGGCAUUCGUAUCGCUGCGUGAGAGGUGAAAUUCUUGGACCGUAGCGAGACGCCCUACUGCGAAAGCAUUUGCCAAGAAUGUCUUCAUUAAUCAAGAACGAAAGUCAGAGGUUCGAAGGCGAUCAGAUACCGCCCUAGUUCUGACCGUAAACGAUGCCAACUAGCGAUCCGCCGGUGGAUUUUUAGCCCUGGUGGGUAGCUUCCCGGAAACGAAAGUCUUCCGGUUCCGGGGGAAGUAUGGUUGCAAAGCUGAAACUUAAAGGAAUUGACGGAAGGGCACCACCAGGAGUGGAGCCUGCGGCUUAAUUUGACCCAACACGGGGAAACUCACCCGGCCCGGACACCGUAAGGAUUGACAGAUUGAUAGCUCUUUCAUGAUUCGGUGGUUGGUGGUGCAUGGCCGUUCUUAGUUCGUGGAUCGAUUUGUCUGGUUUAUUCCGAUAACGAGCGAGACUCUAGCCUACUAAAUAGUAACGAGAUUGCCAUUGUCUUAGUUGCUUCUUAGAGGGAUUUUCGGUGUUUAGCCUCACGAGAUUGAGCAAUAACAGGUCUGUGAUGCCCUUAGAUGUCCGGGGCUGCACGCGCGCUACACUGGCGAAAUCAGCGUGCUGUAUCCAUUCUCGAAAGAGAUUGGUAAACCCAUGAAAAUUUGCCGUGCUUGGGAUCGGAAAUUGCAAUUAUUUUCCGUGAACGAGGAAUUCCAAGUAAGUGCGAGUCAUCAACUCGCUCUGAUUACGUCCCUGCCCUUUGUACACACCGCCCGUCGCUGCCCGGGACUGAGCCAUUUCGAGAAGAUCAGGGACCGGUGGGCUGUGGCCUCUUCGGAGGUUCGGUCCGUUGGAAACUGAUUUGAUCGCAGUGGCUUGAACCGGGCAAAAGUCGUAACAAGGUAGCCGUAGGUGAACCUGCGGCUG
rnacentral:rRNA from 1 species